GACAGAGGCCCCAAGCGUUAGGCGGAAUCACUGGGCUUAAAGGGCGCGUAGGCGGCGGCUCAAGUCGGGGGUGAAAUCCUCUCGCUUAACGAGAGAAUUGCUUUCGAUACUGGGUCGCUGGAGGGAGAUAGGGGUGCGCGGAACUUCCGGUGGAGCGGUGAAAUGCGUAGAUAUCGGAAGGAACGCCGGUGGCGAAAGCGGCGCACUGGAUCUCUUCUGACGCUGAGGCGCGAAAGCCAGGGGAGCAAACGGG
rnacentral:rRNA from 1 species